CCCCUAGAUGUUCUGGGCCGCACGCGCGCUACACUGAACAGUUCAACAAGUCUUAACCUUGGCCGAUAGGUCUGGGUAAUCUUUGAACGCUGUUCGUGAUUGGGAUAGACCUUUGCAAUUAUGGGUCUUCAACGAGGAAUUCCUAGUAAACGCAAGUCAUCAGCUUGCAUUGAUUACGUCCCUGCCCUUUGUACACACCUCCCGUCGCACCUACCGAUUGAAUGGUCCGGUGAAAUCUCGGGACGGCGGCUUGGUCGCUUGCGUCCGACUGCUGAAACUUGAUUAAACCAUAUCAUUUAGAGGAAGGUGAAGUCGUAACA
rnacentral:rRNA from 1 species